ACGAUGAAGAGUUUGAUCCUGGCUCAGGAUGAACGCUAGCGGCAGGCCUAACACAUGCAAGUCGAGGGGUAGAAAUAGCUUGCUAUUUUGAGACCGGCGCACGGGUGCGUAACGCGUAUGCAAUCUGCCUUGUACUGGGGGAUAGCCCGGAGAAAUCCGGAUUAAUACCCCAUAGUAUAUAAGAGUGGCAUCACUUUUAUAUUAAAGAAUUUCGGUACAAGAUGAGCAUGCGUCCCAUUAGCUAGUUGGUAUGGUAACGGCAUACCAAGGCUUUGAUGGGUAGGGGUCCUGAGAGGGAGGUCCCCCACACUGGUACUGAGACACGGACCAGACUCCUACGGGAGGCAGCAGUGAGGAAUAUUGGUCAAUGGACGCAAGUCUGAACCAGCCAUGCCGCGUGCAGGAUGACGGUCCUAUGGAUUGUAAACUGCUUUUGUACGGGAAGAAACUACUCUACGUGUAGAGUCCUGACGGUACCGUAAGAAUAAGGAUCGGCUAACUCCGUGCCAGCAGCCGCGGUAAUACGGAGGAUCCAAGCGUUAUCCGGAAUCAUUGGGUUUAAAGGGUCCGUAGGCGGUUUUAUAAGUCAGUGGUGAAAUCCGGCAGCUCAACUGUCGAACUGCCAUUGAUACUGUAGAACUUGAAUUAUUGUGAAGUAACUAGAAUAUGUAGUGUAGCGGUGAAAUGCUUAGAUAUUACAUGGAAUACCAAUUGCGAAGGCAGGUUACUAACAAUACAUUGACGCUGAUGGACGAAAGCGUGGGGAGCGAACAGGAUUAGAUACCCUGGUAGUCCACGCCGUAAACGAUGGAUACUAGCUGUUCGG
rnacentral:ncRNA from 1 species